rnacentral:rRNA from 1 species
GACGAACGCUGGCGGCGUGCCUAAUACAUGCAAGUCGAACGCUUCUUUCCUCCCGAGUGCUUGCACUCAAUUGGAAAGAGGAGUGGCGGACGGGUGAGUAACACGUGGGUAACCUACCCAUCAGAGGGGGAUAACACUUGGAAACAGGUGCUAAUACCGCAUAACAGUUUAUGCCGCAUGGCAUAAGAGUGAAAGGCGCUUUCGGGUGUCGCUGAUGGUUGGACCCGCGGUGCAUUAGCUAGUUGGUGAGGUAACGGCUCACCAAGGCCACGAUGCAUAGCCGACCUGAGAGGGUGAUCGGCCACACUGGGACUGAGACACGGCCCAGACUCCUACGGGAGGCAGCAGUAGGGAAUCUUCGGCAAUGGACGAAAGUCUGACCGAGCAACGCCGCGUGAGUGAAGAAGGUUUUCGGAUCGUAAAACUCUGUUGUUAGAGAAGAACAAGGACGUUAGUAACUGAACGUCCCCUGACGGUAUCUAACCAGAAAGCCACGGCUAACUACGUG